rnacentral:lncRNA from 1 species
CCUCCCCCGCCACGCCCUCCCAUCGGGCUUUGGGCGCCGGACUCUGGCCACCGCUCGGCACCUGCCUCCGCCUCGCCUUGGGGUAUAGGAGUCCUGUACCGACCCCUGGCUUGCCCAGAGGACAGGUUCUCGCCCGGGCCAGAAGCAAACUGCGGCGAAAUCGAGACAACAGAACUCAGGUGGCGGAGGGUCCCCGCUUUUCCCCAGAGGCGGAAGUUGGCGAGGGAGUCCUCUUCCGUUAUCCAGCGAGAGCGCUGCUCUGGCUGCCUCCCGGUUCUAACCUAGUCCCUGCAGAGGAGUGAUGUACCGGCAGGGACAUUGGACAGAGGCCGUGCUCUUCCCUGCAGCGCAUACCCCGCGGCCCCUGCUGGUGGGCCGCUUCGAUGGUGCUGAGGUUCAUAGUGAAUAUUUAUUGAGCGCCUGCCUCGAGUCCCUUGGGUUUCCUGUUGUCUCGGGACCUGCCGCGUCACUAUCACCCUAGAAUUUGUUAGAAAUGCACGUUUUCGGCCCCACCUAGACCUACAGAACCAGAAACUGCGGGUGGAGUCCUGCAAUAUGAUUAACAAAGCCCUCCGGGUAGUUGUCAUGGACGCCUCUAUAUUUCAGCUAAGCAGUCCAUUUUAAUAAGCUAGGCAGUGAAAAUUUCCAUAGUUUUCCCCAAAGCACAGUGAGGAGUCAGGGAUUCAAAAUGAGGCAAUCUGCCCCAAUGCAGGCGUUUUAUUGCACCCUCCACUCCUGGCUCCUCUGGUUUUUUCGCCCGUAAGACACAGUACUGCUCUUCUCAGGAAGAUUAGGAAAGUACAUUUGUCACAUACGCUUUUCAAGCACGGCUUUAAAAUAACAACUGAAAUUCAGUUCAACUGCAUGUUUUGAGUAUCUACUGGGAGCAAGGCUCUGUGAAGUAUAGUAGCCCUACUGGUUAUGUUUAUCAGUUUGCACCUAAAAGGUGAAAGGAAGGCUUGCUUUCUUGUGAUGUAAAUUUUUUCAAACUAAGGGAGUGCCAGAAAACUGCUGGCUGCUUUCUCUCCCGUGUUGGUUUCUCUCCAGUGCUAUCCAGAAUAUGCUGUAAGCUCUGGACUUCCUGAAACAAAGGUCCAAUCUUUAGUCCAUCCAAUCCUAAAGAAUUUUUAUCAGUGCCCUUUCUUUUUCUUCAGAGUCACUCUGUCACCCAGGCUGGAGUGCAGUGGCACCAUCACAGCUCCCUGCAGCCUUGACUUACAGGGCUCCAGUGAUCCUCCACCCUCAGCCUCCUGAGUAUCUGAGACCACAGGUGCAAGCCACCAUGCCCAGAGUGGACCAGUGUGAUGUUUUGUGGAAUGUCAGAACAAUCAAGAUCACUUCAGACUAUUAUGGCAGUGAGCAAGAGAACUAAUGGAGCCCGUGGCAACACUGGGAAGACAUAUUGUUGGCCCUGUUGGGUAACAGCAAAUCACUUCUGAUGGACCUUGCAAAUUGGUAUGGAGGAAAAGGCAUUAGCCAGUUGUAGCAAGGAAACCAAAAGGUAUAAACAUUCACUGAUUGAAAAACAAUGUCAUAAAGUCAUCCCAGUAUCUGUGAGGAGUUGGUUCCAGGACCCCUGAGGACACCAAAAUCCUCAGAUGCUCAAGUCCCUGAUAAAAAAAUAAAAGUGGUGCCCUCGGGUUCAAAAACCUGAACGGUGGUCUUCAGUUGUUCCCCCAAGCUCCUCUAUCAGAGGCCCAGACACUCCAAGAGGCUGGGAAGAG